UUUUGCAUCUUCUUUCAUUUUGAAUUUACACUCCUCUUCCAGUUUCCAGUUUCGUCCGCCGCGCCAUCGCGUCGUCGACCCGGGGUUCUGCAAAUCGCCGUCAUCGCGGGGAUUCUCCUCUGAUUUCGUUCGGUGAGCAGCUGACAGGUCACCGUUAAGCGCAUGGCUCGGCGAGAACUCCCCUCAUCUCCCUGUUUUCUCAAUUAAAUUUUCUGUGUAAUACUCAGAUUUACGUGAAGUAGAGAAUGUCGAGAAAGGAGCGAAGGGGUUGUUGAUGGGGGAAACUCUGCCUUCAAAAGACAAGAAGAAACUCGUCUCUCGCUGGACUGCAGGUGUCCCUCACGCCGUCGCCGAUUCUUCCCCGACACCGCUCGUCCCUCAGUUUGCAGGGCUACUUCGUUCUUUUUAUCAUGGAUGCCAAUUUAUUUAAAUACUGUUUUUGGUGUAAAACUGAAGGAGGCGGCUUGGUUCAGCGCAGUUCUGUGGACAACAAUGGCAGUCUCUGGCUACAUUGCUGGGGAACAACGACAGAGUACUGCAUAAGUUGAGAUGAUGAAGCCAGGUAACACAGUGGUACUCCGAAAUGCAAAAAUAGACAUGUUCAAGGGAUCAAUGAGGCUGGCAGUCGAUAAGUGGGGCCGUAUUGAGGUUGCUGAACCAGAAAAGUUUGUGGUCAAAGAGGACAACAAUUUAUCCCUAGUGGAGUAUGAGUUGGUUAAUGUUGUGGAAGAAUCUUGAACACGCCCGCCGUUUAGUCCAUGUUGGGGUUCAAUUAAGUUUACGGCUUCGAUCUGGUAUACUGAUUUCUCCGAUUAGUUUUUGUUUUUUGGUUUCUCUCCAUUAAAGUAAUUAUCGUGUAGGACUAAGUUAGCUUGGUUUUAAUGGUUGAUGUGUAAAAAGAUGGACCUUGAUUUAUAGCACAUCUCUGUUAGAAUUUUGUCUAUUGAUAGAUUUGCUUGUCAGCAGCAUAUGUAGUCAGCCAUAUUGAUCAUUAUCUCAGCUCGGAGUUACAUAUC